rnacentral:lncRNA from 1 species
CUGGGUGAUCCCUGCCUGCCGCACUCACAGUCUGCUGUUUACAGUCCCGAAUGCAUCCAGUGGAAUGGUCCUCCCCAUCUGCAGCAUCUGGUGCAAUGUAGGAGACCCUUCAGCUUCCUCUGGACUGUUUUUCUUUUCUGUUUGUGUCCAUCUUCCUUGAUCAAACUCCAGAAGGCAUAUCCCCAAUAGUUUUCUCCAUUGUGGAGGACCUCUUCCAUAUUUUAUGUGCUAGGAUUGUGAUAUUCUGUUAUGGCAGCCCUAGCAGAUGAAUAAUACAGGUAGAAUGGUCCUCAGGUGGUCUGAAGCAGGAGAUACGGCACUUAUGGUGCUCUCUGAUGAAGCCUGAGUCAAUGGAGGAGCCCGCAGCUGCCGGGUCACUUGGUUUCAGGUUUGUGAGAGUCAGCUGAGGGACAAGAGCUCCGGGAACUUUGAAGGCACCCUCUCGAGAAAGCGUUUUCUGUCUUAAAUAUUUUCCUGCACAGGUCUGAAAUUGUAUCAGUAGAAAUUCAUGUGGGGGUCUUGAUGCCUUCUUUAGUUUUCAGCAAUCUCAUGAUAGAAUGAGAAUGUACCUGGUCACCAGGACGCUGUUGAUAGGCUGAGAAUGUGGGGUGUGGUUUCUGGAAAAGGACUGCAGGGAAGCCGGCAGUGAAGGACAGAUGGGCCAGAUCUUUAGGUUCUCUCCCUUCCAGCUUUGCCCAGGACCAGCCUGGAUGAGCUUCUCAUGGGGCUUACAGAAAGAAGGGUGUUUUGGUUCUUCCUUGAAGCACUAUGAGGCCCAGCCAAGAAUCUGUACUCUGAUGGUGGAAGUGACUGGAACCAGAGACUCAGAUGAGGUCACCUGGGAAACAAAUGUUCUGAGAUGGCAACUGCUGGUUUCAUUUGUCUGGAGAUUUCAUCUUUCAGAGCUGUCAAGGAUUUUAGUGGCUAUAAGGAGAGAACUCUGAUGAUAAAGUUUAUUGAUUCAUGACUGCAUUCAUAUAAAACACUAAAUGGAAUUUUGAAUGGCAAGAAACAUGUUUUGUACAUUCAAUAAAUGAGAAUCUGUGUAUCAUGAAAAUGGUAACACUUAGUAUGAUAAUUUUCAGUUUAUAAAGUGUUUUAUUUAAUUCUGACAAUAAUCCUGUAAGGUAGCUGAGUUGUUGAGUUAUAGUAGCACUCAAUGUAUACCCUUCAACCCCUGCCACAAACACACAAAUGCAUGUUCAGUUUUCUUUCAUAUACAAAAUAUCCCAUCUCCCCAAACCGUUACCCCAUCUCAUACUUUGUUCACUUCUAAAAUUCCUGGAAAGGUGAAAUGUUCCCAUAACUGUCUUCAACUCAUCACUACCACUCCAUGAGAUCUGGUCUAAUCUUUGCCAUUAUAGAAAAUCUCACUUAGUUACUAAUAACUUCCUUGUUGCUAAAUGUAGUGAAGUUUCCUCUAUAUGUAUCAUUCGAAG